rnacentral:lncRNA from 1 species
UUACUCUCUCUUUGUAACGCUAUUCCAAUCGGAGCACCACUCAAACAACACAAGAAGAAACAAUCAGAUUGGAUAUAUAUUAACAGAAAUUAAACGGCAGCAAAAUUUUAAAUUUCAGAUGUUAGAGUUCCAAUGCACCACACUUACAAAAUGAGACAAAAAUUGAAGUAGCUACUAACCUGAAAAUCAGAAGAGCAAUCGAAAAAGAUGGCAAGGAACAGAAAUGGGAGUAAAACCGGCAGUAUAUGGAGGAAAACCUAUGUGGUGGCUAAAGGCACCAAAGCCAGGGACAUACGACAACAUACACAUCAGCUAAUAUUAAAUAGAUGAAAUUACCCUCAAUUUAGAAAUUAAUUCCUAAUGGAAGACCUAUCGAUCC